UACAGAGGUCUCAAGCGUUGUUCGGAUUCAUUGGGCGUAAAGGGUGCGUAGGCGGCGCGGUAAGUCGGGUGUGAAAUCUCGGAGCUUAACUCCGAAACUGCAUUCGGAUACUGCCGUGCUUGAGGACUGGAGAGGAGACUGGAAUUCAUGGUGUAGCAGUGAAAUGCGUAGAGAUCAUGAGGAAGACCAGUGGCGAAGGCGGGUCUCUGGACAGUUCCUGACACUGAGACACGAAGGCCAGGGGAGCAAACGGG
rnacentral:rRNA from 1 species